rnacentral:rRNA from 1 species
AUGAGAGUUUGAUCCUGGCUCAGGAUGAACGCCGGCGGUGUGCCUAAUACAUGCAAGUCGUACGCACUGGCCCAACUGAUUGAUGGUGCUUGCACCUGAUUGACGAUGGAUCACCAGUGAGUGGCGGACGGGUGAGUAACACGUAGGUAACCUGCCCCGGAGCGGGGGAUAACAUUUGGAAACAGAUGCUAAUACCGCAUAACAACAAAAG